rnacentral:misc_RNA from 1 species
GAUGAAGAACGUAGCGAAAUGUGAUACUUGGUGUGAAUUGCAGAAUCCCGUGAACCAUCGAGUCUUUGAACGCAAGUUGCGCCCGAAGCCGUCAGGCCGAGGGCACGCCUGCCUGGGCGUCACACGCCGUUGCCCCCCCGCGCCCCGCACCCAACUCUUUGGGAGCGACCGCGGGGCGGGCUGAUGAUGGCCUCCCGUGCGCUCCGCCGCGCGGUUGGCCCAAAUACCGAGUCCCCGGCGACGUGCGCCACGACGAUCGGUGGUUGAGAGACCUCUGUCGCAAGUCGUGCGCGCCCGUCGCGUCACGCGGGCUCGCAUAGCGCCUCGCGCCGCACCCGGUGCGGAGCUUUCAACGCGACCCCAGGUCAGGCGGGGUUACCCGCUGAAUUUAAGCAUAUCAAUAAGCGGAGGA